GUGCUCACUUCAGUAGCACGUGUACUAUUAUAGGAACGAUCGGAGAAGAUUGGCAGGGCUGUGGUGCAAGGAUGACAUGCAAAUUAGAGAAGUGUUCCAUAGCUUU